rnacentral:rRNA from 1 species
GAUGAACGCUGGCGGCGUGCCUAAUACAUGCAAGUCGAGCGAACGGACGAGGAGCUUGCUUCUCUGAUGUUAGCGGCGGACGGGUGAGUAACACGUGGAUAACCUACCUAUAAGACUGGGAUAACUUCGGGAAACCGGAGCUAAUACCGGAUGAUAUUUUGAACCGCAUGGUUCAAAAGUGAAAGACGGUCUUGCUGUCACUUAUAGAUGGGUCCGCGCUGCAUUAGCUAGUUGGUAAGGUAACGGCUUACCAAGGCAACGAUGCAUAGCCGACCUGAGAGGGUGAUCGGCCACACUGGAACUGAGACACGGUCCAGACUCCUACGGGAGGCAGCAGUAGGGAAUCUUCCGCAAUGGGCGAAAGCCUGACGGAGCAACGCCGCGUGAGUGAUGAAGGUCUUCGGAUCGUAAAACUCUGUUAUUAGGGAAGAACAUAUGUGUAAGUAACUGUGCACAUCUUGACGGUACCUAAUCAGAAAGCCACGGCUAACUACGUG